rnacentral:rRNA from 1 species
AUUGAACGCUGGCGGCAGGCUUAACACAUGCAAGUCGAGCGGGGUGAUGGUGCUUGCACUAUCACUUAGCGGCGGACGGGUGAGUAAUGCUUAGGAAUCUGCCUAUUAGUGGGGGACAACAUCUCGAAAGGGAUGCUAAUACCGCAUACGUCCUACGGGAGAAAGCAGGGGAUCACUUGUGACCUUGCGCUAAUAGAUGAGCCUAAGUCGGAUUAGCCAGUUGGUGGGGUAAAGGCCUACCAAGGCGACGAUCUGUAGCGGGUCUGCGAGGAGGAUCCGCCACACUGGUACUGAGACACGGCCCAGACUCCUACGGGAGGCAGCAGUGGGGAAUAUUGGCCAAUGGGGGGAACCCUGAUCCAGCCAUGCCGCGUGUGUGAAGAAGGCCUUAUGGUUGUAAAGCACUUUAAGCGAGGAGGAGGCUCUUUUGGUUAAUACCCAAGAUGAGUGGACGUUACUCGCAGAAUAAGCACCGGCUAACUCUGUGCCAGCCGCCGCGGUAA